CAGGCCUGGCCGUGUGUGGAUGGGUUGUCAGGGCUGAGUGGAGUUGCAAAGGGAUUUAUUAUACCAUGAUCUCUGCUUGUGCAUAUGUUUGGAGAUUUUCAUAAUCAAAUGUGAAAAUUUUUGAUUUUCAUAAUCAAAAAUCAAUACAAAAUAUGAAUGUAUAACGUAAUUCCUCCAUCAUGACGGUGGUGGGAGUGGUGUGUAUGUGACAUCCGGCAUGACGUUAAGGUUGGC
rnacentral:lncRNA from 1 species